GCGGGUAUAGCUUAGUGGUAAAGCCUUGGCCUUCCAAGCCAAUGAUGUGGGUUCGAUUCCCAUUACCCGCUCCA
rnacentral:tRNA from 1 species